rnacentral:rRNA from 1 species
CAAUAGCGUAUAUUUAAGUUGUUGCAGAUAAAAAGCUCGUAGUUGGAUUUCGGUUAAGAGCGACCGGUCCGCCGUUUGGUGUGCACUGGUUGGUUUUAACUUCCUGUAGAGGACGUGCUCUGGGUUUAACGACCUGGACUCGGAGUCUACGUGGUUACUUUGAAAAAAUUAGAGUGUUCAAAGCGGGCUUACGCUUGAAUAUUUCAGCAUGGAAUAACACUAUAGGACUCCUGUCCUAUUUCGUUGGUCUCGGGACGGGAGUAAUGAUUAAGAGGAACAGUUGGGGGCAUUCGUAUUUCAUUGUCAGAGGUGAAAUUCUUGGAUUUAUGAAAGACGAACUUCUGCGAAANCANNNGCCAAGGAUGUUUUCAUNAA